CCUACGGGUGGCAGCAGGGAGGAAUAGUGGUCAAUGGGCGCGAGCCUGAACCAGCCAAGGAGCGUGAAGGAUGACUGCCCGACGGGUGGUAAACUUCUGUUAUAAAGGAAUAAAGUGAGGCAAGUGUGCCGUUUUGUAUGUACGUUAUGAAUAAGGAUCGGCUAACUCCGUGCCAGCAGCCGCGGUAAUACGGAGGAUCCGAGCGUUAUCCGGAUUUAUUGGGGUUAAAGGGAGCGUAGAUGGGUUGUUAAGUCCGUUGUGAAAGUUUGCGGCUCAACCGUAAAAGUGCAAUUGAUACUGGCAGUCUUGCGUACAGUUGCGGUCGGCUGAAUUCGUGGUGUCGCGGUGAACUGCUUAGCUCUCACG
rnacentral:rRNA from 1 species